UCUCCUGCCUUGGCCUUCCAAGUAGCUGGAAUUAUAGGCAUCCACCACCAUGUCCGGCUGAUUUUUGUAUUUUCAGUAGAGACCAGGUUUCAGCAUGUUGGCCAGGCUGGUCUCAAACUCCGAUCUCAAGUGAUUCUCCCACCUAAGCCUCCCAAAGUGCUGGGAUUACAGGCGUGAGCUACCACACCCAGCAACAACAUUCUUGUAAUAAAGAUAAAGCCUCUCAAUAGGCACAAUUGAAAGAAAGCCCACAAUUCUACUGUAUAUGUGUUAAUUUUCUAGUUAUAGUGGGACAUCAGUAGUAGUUGAUAAAUUCAUAAUAUAUACGUAUUUACAGAAUGUUUAAGAUUUCUCAAAUAUUUGGUAUGUUUUUUGCACAUGUUGCAGAAUUUAAUCUUUACAACAGUCUUCCAUUUUGUAAUAGCUCUCUCUCUAUAUAAAUACACGCACACACACACUUUUAUAUACUUAUGUUGUUUUGCAAGUAUGGCAUUUUUUUCAACUUAGGGUUUUUUUUUUUUCUUUACCUAUUAUUUCUUCUGCCAAAAAAUCUUUUCUUUCACAGAUUCUCACGAUUUUCUCCCCACUUUAUUCAAGUCAUUGUUCAAAUAUGACUUCCUGGUAGAGCUUUUCUUGAUUACCCACCUACAACAUGUCCAAUGCUAUUUCUUACAUGAUAUUUCUUGCAAUGAGUUGUUGUAUGACAUUUCUUGUAUGAUGCAACGAGAAUAUAAUAUAAAAUACCUGAGAAGUGAAACCAUCUUUCUCCUGCUCAACUAUUUCUGCAGCAGCUAAAUCAGUGUUCAGCAAACAGUAGAUGCUCAAGAAAUAUUGGUUGAAAUAUUGAAUAAAAUAAGUUAGCGAAAAGCUGGGACACAGAAAGCUUUGGUUUGGACCUAGAAAGUUUGGAUUUUGAAUGCUCUCUAUCAACUACUUGAUAGAAGCAGUCUGUCUUCUACCAGCCUACCAAUGUCUAUCUAUAUUCACAUUCUUCACAUUUUGCUACUUCAAUGGACUUGGUAUUUCCUGGACCAAAAAUUCUGCUUUGAGUAAGAAAGAUGACAUACUUCAUCUUUCUCAUAGACUUUUCUUUGGCAGUUAUCAAUUAUUUCUCUGGCAUCUUCAUAUUGAAAUUCUUCCCUUCCUUAAUCAUUAUCAUCAAUGACAGUACAUUACCAUUAUGCAAACAGUCUCUCCCCAAAGUUUAAAAGUCUUCAAUGACUUCUCAUUCUAUUCCAGUUAUUUAACCAUUUAUCUGAUUUCCUUCAAAGCAAAACUUUUCUUCACAGCUCCUCCUAAUCUGAAAUAGAAUACUAUUAAGUCCACUCAAAUGUCAGCCUCCAGAAAUGUGAGAAAUAAAUUUCUGUUGUUUUUAAGCCACCAAAUAUAUGGUAUCUUUUACAGCAUCCUAAAACAAGACAGCAUUUUAAAAACUGAAACACUCAAUGUAAUAUAAGAGGAAAAACACAAGAAUGUAAAUUAGGUAAUUGAAUCAUUGCCAGGCUAAACACCUCAAGAAAAAUCUGAAAGACGUAUUUGGAUUAAACCAAUUGAAGACAGGUUUAGAAGAUGGAUUUAUCCUUCUCUCUUCUGGAAAAAGAAGUAUCGCUGAAGAUUAAGAGGUCACCUUGGAAGGUUAAAAAAAAAAAAAA
ensembl:lncRNA